CUUAAACACUUAAGUUAUUAUUUAAAUUAUUUUAAAGUAAAAAUUAUAACUAUUUUAAUUGUCUUAAAUUAAAAAAUUUAAGAAAAAAAAAUUGCAUUUUCUAAUAGGCGGGAACGGAUAGAGGAAUGGUGGGAAAUGAAUUUUUUGAAUGUCUUUUUCAAUUGUUCAUCUGUUACAGAGCGAUGUUAUUACCACAUAGAGGAUUCCUUCAGAGAGCCGUCCUGUACAAUUUAGCACUCACGCACCAACAGGCACAGGCUAUUAUGUCAAAGUUUGCAACUUUUAACAAUGGUGAAAUAAAUGCAAAACCAUUAUUGUUGAUAACUGCAGAUCAAGUAAAUUUCACCAUCCUUUUUCUUUUCUCUAUAGAUAACUGUAAUUUCAUCUUGGUAUAUUGUCAAUGUUCAUAUAUAUCUUUUCUUAGUGAAUUUCUAUUUUAUUCGAUGGAGAUUACUAGCCUCAUAGAUAGACACACACCAUAUUGCAUCCUACAAGAAAAAUGUGCAUGCAUUGUAGAAUAGAGUCAACACAUUACGACACACAGGAAACAAUAUGGAGCAUGAAUAAUUGUUUUUCUUUUAUAAUAGUAUGACAUGAUAUAGCUUUGAGACUCGUGAGGUACUUUUGUGUUGAUUUGUCUCUAAAAUCUAUCUAGGGCUUCACUCUAUUGUUUGGACGCUACUCUUUUCACUAUGUGACACCUCACAACCAGUAAAGAGAUUGUUUGCUGCAACAAUGAAUUCUUGGGACAGCCAUCCUAUCCCUUUGAGACUGUGCAUUUCCACUGCUAUAUUUGUGGCUAUUUCAUCUUUGUCCUAGGCAUUCACUGUAGUUUUCAAAUUCUCACCUAGACAAAUAGUCAAAAAUUUUAGUAUAAAUUUUUCGUUUGAUGAUGGAUUGACAUGAUUCCAAUUGGAGAUAUUACUAUAUUCAAUAUUUUAUUUCCAAUAGAAACAGGUUUUGAAGAAAAGAAGAAUUGAUUGGUAGAAUGUGCCAAUGAACAACUCGAAAAUGUGAGUUUUAGCAGUGCAGAUUUAGGAUAAGCAGUUAGUACUUUGGGCAUAACUUUCUCAUACGAUAUUGGAAUUGAGUGAUUCAAAUUGUGUUGUAAACUAUAUUCAUAGGAUAAUACUCCUUAGAAACAUAUUUUAUAGAUUCAACAAUUUGGUCAUCCAAAAAUUUACUGCCCUAACUCUGUUCCUACUAUGUCCUUGAGUUUCUUGUGUGACACCUAGUGGGUACUUUGUCCACAUCUUUUUCAUUUGAUGAUGGAUGGUGAAAUUACAAUUGGAGAUAAAAUUAUAUUCAAUUUUUAAUAUCCAAUAGAAACAAUUUUUGAAUAAAAGAAGAAUUGAUUGGUAGAAUUUGCCAAUGAACAACUGGAAAAUGUGAGCUUAAGUAGUGCAGAUUUAUGAUAGGCAGUCAAUAUUUUGGACAUAACUUUCUCAUAUGAUAUCAAAAUUGGGUGACUCAAUUUGUGUUAUAAACUAGAUUCAUAGGAGAAUAUGCCUUAUAGAAAAAGGUUUUAGAGAUUCAAUAAUUUGGUCAUCCAAAAAUUGACUGUCCUAACUUUGUUCGUAUCUUGUCCCUAAGUUUCUUUGUGAUACCUAGUGGGUAUUUUGGCCACAUCUUUUUCGUUUGGUAUAAAAAUUGAAAAAUUCAAAUUGGGUUAGAAACUAUAUUUUGAUGGCUUCUUUGGAUAGAAAUAAGUUUUUAAAAUGUGCCCAUAUAGCCCCCCAAAAUAGGAUUGUCCCAACUGUGUUUUCAGUGAAGUCAAUGAACCAAAAUGCCAUAAGAGUCUAAUAAAAAUUAUUAUGCAUCAUGACUCAUACAUUUUCAACUCAUGAAUUCUUCCUUCUUUACAAACUUGUGAUUUUCUAUUUUCCCCUAUGUGUGAUUGUCAUAGGGUUUGUAUAGGUCUUUUUAGGCCUGGAGUCUUCUUUUAUGCAUGUUUACAGUCUUUGUAUUAUAUCCAUUGGACUGCCCUAUUCAUUAUCUUUGAGCUAUUACUAUUGAACACAUGUACAUCAUUGUGAUGACUCCUCAUUUUGCAACUAUGUCAGUGAUUAAGCCAACCUUGUUUUCUUUCACAUACCUCUCAUUUGGGACCUCUGUGUUAUGUAUUUGUUGUCAAAGUAGUGAUCGUUAUUUCUCAAGUAUUUCCAACAAAACCCUUGAAUGCAUUCUUUUCAUUUUGGAUUCUUUAUUUUGUGUGGUGUUAUCUAAACAAGAGAUAUUUGUAUUGCUGCUCUCAAGACCUAUUUUUCUUUUUGCUCUAUCAUGGCAUUGUACUCACUUCUACUAUUAGGCCCUUGUGAUUGCCAUUUGGUUCUCAAUGUUUUGUCCAUGACAGUAUUAUCCUCUUUGCUCCUCAUAAUAGUGAUGUCUUCUAUUCAUCCAACAUGAAGUUGUCACCUAGCAUAAUGAUUUCUAACCUUAUGUUGUUGUUCAAAAAUGUUGCCACGGGACGAUUAGUCUCAUCACUGUAGCCUUUGUGUUAGAACUUAGAAUGUUACCCUUGUAUGAUGUUCAUGGACUAUUUUGAAACUGUAUCAUACCUCCCAUGUUGACUAUCUCAUGGGCCUAAUACAUAGUGAAGCAUCACUACUAUUCCCUUUAUUAACCUUUAUUUUUCCACUUGCAACUGUCAUCCUUAAUGGUGUUGUAUUCUCAACAACAUAGAUAUGGGCUCAUAGUUGUCCAUUAACUUUCUUUCCCAUCCAUAUGACUAUCAUUUGUGAUCCUUCCAUUUGUAUGCAUCAUAGCCCACAUUCUCUCUACCACUAUGACCUCUAUUUGCCUUUGGACUAGAAUCCUUAAUGAGGAAACAAGUUGUCCUUCAUUUUCAUUGAUGACCAUCCCUCCACGCUAAUGAUUUUAACCAAAAAUUGCUCCUUAGCUAUAAUAAAUUACUCUUGUAUGUAAUGUAGCAAGUUAUUUACAAUGAUUUGUUGCAUUGUGAUUCAUUGAUAAUUUUUAUAUUUAUGAUCCCUGUCUUAAUGUAUUAAUUGAAAAAACAUUAAAAUGAAUGGUUUUGUGUUAUUUGGGAAUCUAUCAAAUAAUAUACUAAUAAUUUGCUUGGUUGUUUUAGAGUCUUGGAUAAUUGCAGCAUAGCCAGACAAAUUUCUGGUCUUAUUCUCCUCAUGCAGAAUUUCAUCAUAUUAUUAAUGGUAAAUUAACCUGCAGGAUUGACAAUAGGUACUCAUUAUUUUGUGUAUUACAUAAUUUUUAAAUUUCUAAAAUUACUAAAGUAUGCUUAAAAAAUUAUAAAUGCUAUGUUUUAGUAGAAUCAAAAUGCAAUUUGGAGAAUCAUUGAACCAGAAAAUUAUUUCAUAGGAAUUUCAGAAAGAAAAAUUAUUUUAUUAAAAUAUUGUUGUCUGACGAGGGAAAACUAUGGAGAUAAAAUGGAGGAGGUUUCACAACGGUCUUGUUACCGUUCAGGGCAGUGCAAUUCUGAGGGUGACUUUAGAGAGCUAGACAAAAUGUUGCAGGAACAUGAGGUUGCAAACUGGGUUGACUAUAGAUGAACAACUUCAAUUUUGACUCUCUUGCAUCUAUAGUAUUCUUGACUCUUAAAAUGCAUUUUCCUAAUGAGAGAAAUAUCACAAUGAAAUUAUUUUCA